GCCAUUUUGAACUACCCAGAACUCUGCUGAACAUCUUUGAAGGCUUUUUAGCUGGAACAAGGAGAAAAAGACUUUCACAGUGCCGCAAGAAAACUGAAAGACUACUACUGGAGACAUCUCGCUGAGGAAGGACAAUGCAACAACAAAGACAAAUUUUUUUCUUCAGUUCCUUGAAUGAACUUUCUUCAACACAACCAAGGCCAGAUCACAGAACCGAUCAAGGGACGCUUGCACAACCGCCCAAUUUAUAAAGAAAGAGUACAGAGCCAGGGAGCUGCGGCCAGCGAGCUACCACCAAAAACCCCAGCACCAACUUCACGGGAAUGCACAACACUGCGGCAAGCACUGGAAAAGGGCCUGAGCACAUCUCUGUGUGUGGACGUGGAUUGCUAAUUAUUGUGUAUAUUAAUAAUUGAAGACUUCAAUCUCACUGUUUACACCCCCCCACCCCCCCCCCCGAGCAUUGUUGGUAAAGAGGCGGAUUGUUUUAGUAUGUUUACAGAAUAGAAGUGAUCGUUUUGCACUGGGACAUUUGGUCUGGAUAUUAUAUUAUUCACCCGCACCACUCAC